rnacentral:rRNA from 1 species
GAUGGACGCUAGCGGCAGGCCUAAUACAUGCAAGUCGAACGGUGUCUUCGGACAUAGUGGCGCACGGGUGCGUAACACGUAUGCAACCUACUUUACAUUGGGGGAUAGCCUUUCGAAAGGGAGAUUAAUACCGCAUAAGACAGUAGCUGGGCAUCCAGCAGCUGUUAAAGGUUUAUCGAUGUAAGCUGGGCAUGCGUCCAAUUAGCUAGUUGGUGAGGUAACGGCUCACCAAGGCAAUGAUUGGUAGGGGAACUGAGAGGUCAAUCCCCCACACUGGCACUGGGAUACGGUCCAGACUCCUACGGGGGGCAGCAGUAGGGAAUAUUGGGCAAUGGGCGCAAGUCUGACCCAGCCAUGCCGCGUGCAGGAUGAAGGCGUUAUGCGUUGUAAACUGCUUUUAUACAGGAAGAAACGACUCUUGCGAGAGGCAUUGACGGUACUGUAUGAAUAAGCACCGGCUAACUCCGUGCCAGCCGCCGCGGUAAUAC